UAUAAUUUGAAAUGCAUCAUUUCAGUAGUGAAGGUCUGAGAGGUUAAGAGAUUUAUUUAUUUAUGUAGGAUGACCCUUAGUUUCAAAUUUCCUGCCAGCUUGUAUUUUUUGGUAACUGCUUUUCUAUUUCAAAUUUAAAAUGCUCACUAAGGAACCCUCUGAAGACAAUAAAUUGCAUAAUGCCAAAAAUUAAUAUGCUUUGCCAUACUGAAGAAGCUAUAGUUGUAAUACAGGCUUUUGUUUCUUUCGAUACUUCCCAGAAAAUACAUAAAACUGCACAUGCAAAAUGUCAUUGGCAGGUACUGUGAGAGAGCUGGUGUUUCAUUGGACAAUAGGAGGUGAAGCAGACAUGUCAAGAGAUUUUGACAUUUUAAAAGAAAACUAUUUAGUACUUGAAUAAAAUAUAAUCAUAUAUUUUAUCUUUGCUUUAAAAUGUCUUUAGGUUCCAAAGGUCUUGUAUUAAACAUGUUAGUACUGUACUUUUCUUGCUGCAGAAAUGUGCUGUGAGACAGUAGAAAUAGAUUCUGGAAUGCUUGAGACUUGAGAGGUUGGAGCUUACAUUUUGGGUUGGUUGGAUUUGGUAGAUCUGAAAUUAGGAAGCCACGAUCUUUACCUCUUCAGAAGUUGAUGAGAAUUGGUCACAUGAACAAGUCAUUUAUUUUCUGUCAUUUGACUUUCUAAUAGAUUUUUCCUCUUUCAGUUCUUUUUGGGCCUUUUUAAACACAUGGGAAUUCAUCCCAGAGAAAACAAGAAAUAAAGAUACUAAAAACAUGAUGUCUAACCUUCCAUUAAAUAUAUAAUGUAAUUAUCUUCUGAGAGUGGGGAGUUAAAGUACAUUCUAUCCUGGGCAUAUUGUUAAAUGACCUUAAACUAUCAACAAGAGUAAGGGAGAGAAAAUGCAAACCCAGAAUUAUGGCAAUGAAAAGACAUUUAUGAGACCCAGUUUUCAUUUAAUUUACGUAUACUAUCUGAAGGAGAGAUACAGUGUAUUGCAGGUAACUUCUUUUUAACUGAUGGAGAGUUUGGAGUUUUUUCUUAAAUAAAGAGUGCUAGAUUAGAAUGUAGUCUGAUAAGUUGAACCUUUGAAGACGCUUUUAUUGUCUUCAGUAGCCAUUUUGUACUACAGUAGCUUACCCUGAUCUUCCUGUCUCCAAUAAAUCUUAAAAGAAUUGGUUGUUCUAACAUAAGGAAUGGAUUAAAGUGCAAGGACAUAUCAAGAUGCCGAACUGGAAAGGAAAUCAAUUGGUUUUCCAGGGAUGAAAAAGAAUAUAGCAACAAGAAAAUGAACUUUUCUAACUAUUCUUAUGGGACGAGCAAACAAUAUUUGUAGCUAUGCUACCUUGAAACCAGAAAUAAAUUAGGUAUUUACUAAAUCAUUAUAUUUAUUUAUUUAUAAAUAUUGAUAACAAU